AACGUCCUGCCAAACCCGUCUACA
rnacentral:siRNA from 1 species